CCGCCGCCGGCGCCCGUGCAGCCACUGACUCCUGACGACAUCCUGGACAAAAAAUACGGUCAGUACUAUCUACUACAGUGCCAAUGUGUCAUGGUACAUGAAACAAAAAUCACACUCUGUGAUCAAGUACUAGGCUAGUACUACUAUCAUAAAAUGAAUGCUUCAAUGUCUGACAUUUCCAACCAAUAUACCCGAUUUUUCCGGGUUUUGAUCCUCCAAUAGUGGUACUAUAUAAGUGCCUAGUAACUUGUCCGUGCUAACGCUACAGUAACUUUUUCAAGUUGGACAUGACCAUUCUACACUUGUGAUCUAUCGAUUCAUCAUAUUCAGAUAAGGGAUGAUUACAUAUGAGUGGAGUAGAUGUCAAGAUAGGAAAUAGUGUUCAAUGUGCAAGAAGAUUCAGUCAAUACCUUAAUUUGUGGGGACAACAAAUAAUCUCCUUCAACUUCUCAACCUGAAAAUUCAGGGUUUCUAUCCUCUAGUAGUACUAUAUAUUGGUUAGAGAAAAGUCAGAUAAAAUAAAUGUGUAUUUUGACUUGAAAUUUAUUUAAAAUAAUUUCAUGUAAAAUGAGCCAUAAUAAUCUAAGGAAUUUAAAGAUGAAUAAAUUCUGAGAGUGUGAACCCAGGUGUGCUUCCAUGGAGAUAGUGUGAUCAGGCUAGUUCCAAGAACCUGUCGUUGUCAGAGUAUGCUGGAGUUUACUUUGUUGAUUUCACUCAUCUACAUGCAUUGCAUCCAUCGGUGUCAAAUUCAGGGAAUAGUUGAUCAUUUAUCUCUUGUAGAUCCGUGGAUAGCUGCAUCACAGAGCUCUGAAUUUCAAUGUUCUUAUAUGCAACUGUUGUUCAUCUUUGACUUGACUUAUCACUCAUAUCUGUCUAUUUUUUGUCCUUGAAUAUUGCAGAAAACUGUAGUAAGCCUGAGAGCAAGGGUGGCACCAGUUGAUUGCCGUUAAUCUGAAGACAUGUAUAUAAGGCUCUGAUAAAAUCGAAUUGAGAGGUUGGAUUGUGAUCGCUACCAAAUUAUUUAGGGGGAAUUUAAGACUAUCCCUUUGCUGACUUUUAAAAUUUGUUAGGCAGUUUGAUCAGCGAUUAAGAUUUAACAAGUCGCAAAUUUUUUUCGCUGUGUACGUAGUACUAUUUUCCCCCCUUUGGGGAGACAUUAGCUAUGUAUCAGUUGUUGAUGUACCAGUUCAAAUAUAUGCCAAUCAGAGGAAAUUGUAUUAUUGUUCCACCUCAACUCUGUCAUAUUAUGUUAACUUGCCUU
rnacentral:lncRNA from 1 species